rnacentral:rRNA from 1 species
GAUGAACGCUGGCGGCGUGCUUAACACAUGCAAGUCGAGCGGGAAAUACUUUAUUGAAACUUCGGUCGAUUUAAUCUAUUUCUAGUGGCGGACGGGUGAGUAACGCGUGGGUAACCUGCCUUAUACUGGGGGAUAACAGCCAGAAAUGACUGCUAAUACCGCAUAAGCGCACGGGGCCGCAUGGUCCUGUGUGAAAAACUCCGGUGGUAUAAGAUGGACCCGCGUUGGAUUAGCUAGUUGGCAGGGCAGCGGCCUACCAAGGCGACGAUCCAUAGCCGGCCUGAGAGGGUGAACGGCCACAUUGGGACUGAGACACGGCCCAGACUCCUACGGGAGGCAGCAGUGGGGAAUAUUGCACAAUGGGGGAAACCCUGAUGCAGCGACGCCGCGUGAAGGAAGAAGUAUCUCGGUAUGUAAACUUCUAUCAGCAGGGAAGAUA